UUGUAGAAGUUUCAGUCAAUAAUUGGCUUCCUCCAAGACAGGAUCACAUGGAAGAGGAGAAACAGUUCAUGGUGGGCAGAAGGUAGCAAAGCCACAAUGGAAAACCACAGGUGUUUUUAUAUUUGUAUCUUAUCCAAGAUAUUUAGGGCAUGUAGCACUCACACCCUUAAUCCCAGCUCCCUUGAUCCUAGCAUUACACCAUGAAUCAAUUUUAACAUCAUACACUUGAGAGCCAGCCACCUCUGAAAAAGUCCCACCAAUGGCUUAAAACAAGCUUAGUGGCAGGAAAUCCACACACUGCAUGUGACAGGGACCCAGGUUAGACUUCUCAGCUCCCCUCCCUGUCCUUACAGGUGACACUUUCAGGCAUAUUUGUCUCCAUCUUUAUUCCCACCUCUUCUCAUCCGUCUUCUGAAUAAAGAGUGUUGUCCGUGUCACCUGGAACCACAGUGGGCAGAGCCGCUGGGCCCCCUUACCUGUAGUCUGCUUGUCUGGCACUAAUGAAAGAAAACUGAGAAGGAAGCGCAUCUCCAAGGUGGAGAAGGAGCUGCAGUGCUGGCAGGGUGCCCCCAGAACUGCAAUGUCACCCCAGAGCCAAUGUGAUGAGACAAAGAGCACCUUCAAGGUGUACAACUUUGAUGACAGAGUUGCGUUCACACUGGUUUAUGAGACCUUUGGAUGUCAAGCUACCAACCUGUUCUGUGCUGCCAUUUGAUGAGAUUUAGAAACCAUUUAGCACCUGCAACUAUUGCCAAAUACCCCCACCCACAUGCCAGGUGGCAGUUAUGGCCCAUCCACUGCUCUGGACCCUCCCCUGCAUCCAGUGACAUGAUCUGCCCUGCCCCUGUGGAAGCCUUGGAUCAACCCAAGAA